AGAGAGAGACAUGCGCGCAUAUCAAUAAGCGGAGGAAAAGAAACUAACAAGGAUUCCCCUAGUAACGGCGAGUGAAGCGGGAAGAGCUCAAAUUUGAAAUCUUAAAGGGUUUCCCUUUACGAAUUGUAGUUUAAAGAAGUGUUUUCUGUUGAGGUUUUGGUAAAAGUUCUUUGGAAUAGGACAUCAUAGAGGGUGAGAAUCCCGUAUUUGACCUUUACUUUCAACUUUGUGAUACACUUUCAAAGAGUCGGAUUGUUUGGGAAUGCAGUCCAAAAUGGGUGGUAAAUUUCAUCUAAAGCUAAAUAUUGGCGAGAGACCGAUAGCGAACAAGUACCGUGAGGGAAAGAUGAAAAGAACUUUGAAAAGAGAGUUAAACAGUACGUGAAAUUGUCAAAAGGGAAGCGUUUGACACCAGUGUUGUUUUUCUGAAAAUCAAUUAAAGAACUGUUUAUGCUAAGUUGUUUAGACUUUAUCAGCUAACUGUUUAGUUUCUGAGCUUUUCUUUAAUGCACUUUUCAGUUAACAAGUCAACAUCAAUUUCUUUUGCUGUAAAAAAGCUUGAGGAAGGUGGCUUGAGAUUCGUCUUAAGUGUUUAUAGCCUCUUGCCUAUGCAGUCGGAGAGAUUGAGGUCUGCAGCGUAGGAUCCUUCGGGGCUAAAUGCAUUUGUGCUAAGUUAUAGCAUUUUAUAGACAACUUGUUGACUAUGAUUUGUCUUGUAGCUUACUCGCUUAUGUUAUUUUACCUACGCUUAGGAUGUUGACGCAUGAGAUAUACGC
rnacentral:rRNA from 1 species